rnacentral:misc_RNA from 1 species
GUAUUAUUGAUCGCGUGUGACCGCGAAAAUAAACAUUCUACACAGUAUCGAGUGUUGUGUAAAGACGCGGGCCCUCCGGCAAAGGGGGACCCACGCGGUGAUGCACAAAGGGUGAGAUGGAUUGUGAGAGGGCUCGGGCGUGCACGACCCGGAAAGGUCAGCGACAGCCCUCGCGCCUCGGUUGUACGAUAAUGAUCCUUCCGCAGGUUCACCUACGGAAA